GAUCUCAUACCAAACGUCUUUGGACUUUUGCUAAAUGAUUUAUGCUGUUUUCAUACAUGCGGUUUAGGAUUUAAGCAUGAAGGAUUUAAGAGAUCCACAUUGCUUAAGGGAAUAGCAGUGAGAGCAUGCACUGACACAAAGAUCUGAACCUGCAAGCCUUUGGCUGCAUGAGGUUCUGUUACUCAUAUAACUAUAGUAAUCUUCAGCUUUUAUGGCUCUAACAUCUACCUGUUGACUUUAGCAAGGACAAGCAGGGGAAGAAUUACAGCGUUGUCUUUCUGCUUGCCAGCAUACGUACUUGACUGGAAAGCCAAACAGGACAGUAAUUGAGCACAAACCAGUCCAUGGAAACCAUAAGGAUCAACUGGGUUAACGUUUCUGAAGAUAGUAUGAAGACUACUCAAAAAAAAAAACCUAUGAAUUGUGAGCUUUUCCCUUGUUUUUGCAAAAAUGUUCAAGAGUUUCGGUCAAUGUGAAAUGUGCCUGAGAAAUGUACAGACGCAAACUUUAAACAGGUAAUGCCACAUGCCAAUUGUACUUUUGGAGAGCACAAAUUCACAAGUUAAGUCACCCCCUGUGACGUGUCCUGUGACUGUAAAAUCCCCUGAGGCUAAAUAAGGAAACAGGGACACUAAAUACUUAUACACAUACAUGAAUACACACACUUGCAUCACACAUCAUGAGCUUCCCAAAUACAGGAAGCCUCUGUGCUCAGUAAGCAUGAGAGAUCAUUCAGUUCUCACCCUUCCCUUAUUUGUGCUUCAGAUCUGUCCAUUGUGGUUACCGUCUGGAUAUUUUCAAUACAAAAGAACAACUGGUACAAUAUGCAUAAACAUGUUUGCAUUUGGCACUCACCUUUCCUAAGUAUGGCCUUUAAUUGCUGAGCUCAGAGAAUUAAAAUAUGAAUAUGUUGAAAACAAAGCUUUAAAUGUGGAUUAGCAAUUUGGUUACACUUUCUAAACACUAAACGUGCAAUACGGCCUGGAGAAGAUGAUUUUUUUUUUAUCCAUAUAUCCAUGUCUUAUAACUUCCUUUCCUGGUCAAGGUCAUGGAAGAGCCAAAUGCUAAUACCUGAAGAUGCAGACGAUGUUCACUUUAUUAGGUAGACUUAGCUGGUGCUGCAUAGGGUACUUCAAGGGUAGAUGAGUAAUGCAUUUUAUUCUGCAGCAUAACCAUGAUCCUAAACAUGCUAAAAGAGUGUAACAAAUAAAAGAUUAUGAGGAAGAAAUUCUAUGUUUAAAAUUUCUACCCCAACAAAAGAGCUG